rnacentral:rRNA from 1 species
GACGAACGCUGGCGGCGCGCUUAACACAUGCAAGUCGAACGGAAAGGCCUGCUUUCCCUUGUGGAUUGCGGGUACUCGAGUGGCGAACGGGUGAGUAACACGUGAGUGAUCUGCCCCCAACUUGGGUAUAAGCCUGGGAAACUGGGUCUAAUUCCCGAUAGGACUGCAGGGUGGUGCCUGUGGUGGAAAACGAUUUUCUAGUGGUUGGGGAUGAGCUCGCGGCCUAUCAGCUUGUUGGUGGGGUAAUGGCCUACCAAGGCGGCGACGGGUAGCCGGCCUGAGAGGGUGGACGGCCACAUUGGGACUGAGAUACGGCCCAGACUCCGACGGGAGGCAGCAGUGGGGAAUAGUGCACAAUGGGCGGAAGCCUGAUGCAGCGACGCCGCGUGGGGGAUGACGGCCUUCGGGUUGUAAACUCCUUUCGACCGCGAGGAAGCCACCUGGUGGGAAGGGUGGUGACGGUAGUGGUAGAAGAAGCACCGGCUAACUACGU